AGCUAUGUUCAGAAAUGGAGAGGAAGGGACAAAUUGCAGACGAGUCCAGGAAAGAGAUUAGUCUUUGUUACCAAUAACUCCACAAAGUCCAGGAAACAAUAUGGGAAAAGUUUGAAACACUUGGUCUUAAUGUCAACGAGG